GUGGGGAAUAUUGGACAAUGGGCGAAAGCCUGAUCCAGCCAUGCCGCGUGUGUGAAGAAGGUCUUCGGAUUGUAAAGCACUUUAAGUUGGGAGGAAGGGCAGUAAGUUAAUACCUUGCUGUUUUGACGUUACCAACAGAAUAAGCACCGGCUAACUUCGUGCCAGCAGCCGCGGUAAUACGAAGGGUGCAAGCGUUAAUCGGAAUUACUGGGCGUAAAGCGCGCGUAGGUGGUUCAGCAAGUUGGAGGUGAAAUCCCCGGGCUCAACCUGGGAACUGCCUCCAAAACUGCAUGACUAGAGUACGGUAGAGGGUAGUGGAAUUUCCUGUGUAGCGGUGAAAUGCGUAGAUAUAGGAAGGAACACCAGUGGCGAAGGCGACUACCUGGACUGAUACUGACACUGAGGUGCGAAAGCGUGGGGAGCAAACAGGAUUAGAUACCCGGGUAGUCC
rnacentral:rRNA from 1 species